UACGGAGGGUGCGAGCGUUGUCCGGAACCACUGGGCGUAAAGGGCGCGUAGGCGGCCUGAUAAGUAGGGGGUGAAAUCCUGUGGCUUAACCGCAGGGCUGCCUUCUAAACUGUCGGGCCAGAGCACAGUAGAGGCAGGUGGAAUUCCCGGUGUAGCGGUGGAAUGCGUAGAGAUCGGGAAGAACAUCAGUGGCGAAGGCGGCCUGCUGGGCUGUUGCUGACGCUGAGGCGCGACAGCGUGGGGAGCAAACAGG
rnacentral:rRNA from 1 species